rnacentral:rRNA from 1 species
GAUGAACGCUGGCGGCGUGCCUAAUACAUGCAAGUCGAGCGAGCGGACGAGAAGCUUGCUUUUCUGAUGUUAGCGGCGGACGGGUGAGUAACACGUGGAUAACCUACCUAUAAGACUGGGAUAACUUCGGGAAACCGGAGCUAAUACCGGAUAAUAUUUUGAACCGCAUGGUUCAAAAGUGAAAGACGGUCUUGCUGUCACUUAUAGAUGGAUCCGCGCUGCAUUAGCUAGUUGGUAAGGUAACGGCUUACCAAGGCAACGAUGCAUAGCCGACCUGAGAGGGUGAUCGGCCACACUGGAACUGAGACACGGUCCAGACUCCUACGGGAGGCAGCAGUAGGGAAUCUUCCGCAAUGGGCGAAAGCCUGACGGAGCAACGCCGCGUGAGUGAUGAAGGUCUUCGGAUCGUAAAGCUCUGUUAUUAGGGAAGAACAUAUGUGUAAGUAACUGUGCACAUCUUGACGGUACCUAAUCAGAAAGCCACGGCUAACUACGUG